GGUGAGCGCCAUUUUGGGAUUGGGCAGAAAGUGGCACAGAUAGUAGAAACCGGGAUCAGCCAUUUUUAGUUAGGGGACUCGCACCCUUUGUUGGGAGGGAGUAGCCAUUCUCGCUUGGGACGAAGCCUGACAGUUGAAGUUAACGGUUCUCAUCUUUAUUUUGGGCAAAACCUCCCUACCCGGUCGAUUUAAUUUCUUAAAUCGAGGAAAGAAACCCCCAGAAUCCAUCAAGUGGCUGAGAUUUAACCCCUUUGUUGCCUACUUGGCCAAAGGACGUUUCCAUUUAUCAUAUAAGCUCAUAGUUGGGAAGGGAUAUUUUGCACAAGAAACCGUAUUUUGAGAGCCAUCUUGCGUCUCAAAGUGCUGAGAAUGGGGGCUCGUAAAAGGUGGUGUCCAGCACCAGCAAGUUUCUUGUCUGGUAGAGGAGACAUUGCCCUUGCCCUUAGAGCACAGCAAGCAAGUUAGUCGUUUACGUCGCGGAAGGAGGCAAAACCAUUCUCCAGAAGCUGUAGCUCCGAAGAAUUCUCAAUUUAGUUUGUGGCCCAGGAGCUCCUGGAGGUUGGGAGCCUUGCCUGGCUGGCUACACUGUCUCCAGCUUCUCUCUUGCUGCCUGGCCUCUAACAGGACUUGAUGUCACUACACCAAACCACAUUCUCCAAAGAUGGGACUGGAAGGAAAGAGAGAACUUCAGAAAGGCCAAGUCCAGCUGUCAUGACCUUCUCCCAUGGUUUCCAUGAAUACCUCUGGAAAACUAUCAAGGAUAUGUUGGACCGACAUCAACUAGGAACUUGGAAACGUUGAGAGAGAAAAAUGUGGGUGUCACACGAGGCACGGUAGCCAUUAACUGCACGAAUAUAAUGCAAAUAGCAUGCAAAUAAAUGCAAACCUUAGAUUAAUUUGCAGAAUCAUACUUUGGAGCUUGCAAACAGUGCUGAGAUCAAAGCUAAUGUUUUUUACAU